UACGGAGGGUGCAAGCGUUAUCCGGAUUCACUGGGUUUAAAGGGUGCGUAGGCGGGUAGGUAAGUCCGUGGUGAAAUCUCUGAGCUUAACUCAGAAACUGCCGUGGAUACUAUUUGCCUUGAAUACUGUGGAGGUGAGCGGAAUAUGUCAUGUAGCGGUGAAAUGCUUAGAUAUGACAUAGAACACCAAUUGCGAAGGCAGCUCACUACACAAUGAUUGACGCUGAGGCACGAAAGCGUGGGGAUCAAACAGG
rnacentral:rRNA from 1 species